GGAGAAUACUAGAAGUGUUAGUAACAACGGUAAGAGAGAAGAAAGCUGAUUCACUAUAAUACUGAAAAUUUAAGAAUUCCAGUUGUUGAGAAGGAUCAAAGAGAUACGUCUACACAGGAGGUGAAUUUGCCAUAUUAAGAGUUGAUGCAUAAAAAAUUAUCUUGACAACUGUCAAAGUCAGAAGCUAUACAAACAAGGAGUUUUUAGUUAAGGUGUUUCUGUGUUGGAUCCCAGAGAAUAUUAUGAAGUAUAAAGGCUUCUACUCCAAAUAUGCAAAAAAGUACUCCCUAAAUAGUUGAUGAUGUGUGACAAUAGUGAAGGACUGGUAUCAGUGAUUAUGGUGCAUCAUCAGUAAUUGGACACUUUAUAGAGAAAGAUGCAAGUGACUCCAUCAGCCAAGAACCUAGACAUGCCAGAUUCUUUAAAGAAAUCAAAAUGUUCACUUAAGGAGGCAGAGGAUAUAUAUCAAUUACAGCCCUAGAAACAGUUGCAGCUAAGAACUCUGACAUGAAUUUCAAAAUGCUAUUUACGCUAUUCUGGUGGGAUCAAGUACCAGUCACCUGAGUGAGCAGUGGCUAAAUCUGCAAUGCAUCCUUCUUUUGGCUUUCCUCCCCCCAUGUUCUACUCCCUUGCACUUUAUAUCCACUUCCUCAGAUCACAUCCCCAUGUAAACUAAAUGUACACAAACUUUCGUCUCAGAUUCUGCUUUGUGGAGAACCAAGGAUAAUCUUGAUUUUAUCAUUCUCCAAUGUUCUGUUGACAAGUCAUCUGUGUGAUUAUCUGCUUAUUCUUUUAGUUUUGUAGAUUGCAAUUUUUAACUGUUACUAAUAUCCCAAUGUCGUGCUAGAAGAAAAAGUGAUAGGUAGAUACGUAGGUAGGCAGAGAUAGGCAGAUAUAGAAAUAUGUAUAUAGAGAAAUAUUAUGUGUGGGAAUAUGUUCAACUGUCUGUAUUUACCCAGAUGCCUAAAAUUCUGUGUUUAUGUCACUCAAUUUUAAAUACACUGUAUAUGAACUCCUUGUAAGCAAGGAAAGUUUCUAAUUUAUCUUUGUAUACUUUUUGAAUUUACUCUUAUUCAAAAGUGAUCUCUCUCCUAACCCCAUCCCCCACACACACACAAAAGGAAAAUCAAGCAAAAAUAAGAAUAAAAGCAAAUGCACAGUCUGAUAAUUUGUUCCUAGUUAGUUGAUAUUUUAUUAAGACUACUUAUUUCAAAAGAAAGUUAUGAAGCAUUCCAAAGGUACAGUAUUUUUUGUUGUACUUUAGUUUUUUAUUCAGAUAUGUGUCAACAAGAACAAGAUAUCAUCAAAGACUGAUAUCUUAGAUGUUUUACAUUUAUGGGAAAGAAACUUUGGCAGACUUAUUCUUUAAUUUACAAAAUACUGAAAUGUGUGUUAAGAGUUAUACAUGUUAUAAAUUUAUAAGUGUUAUAAAGAGAAAGUCCAUAGAUUGUGAAAAGAUAAAGUUAAUUGAAGGAACCAAUUACACUUUAAGUCCUUCACUUACCUUUGACAUAGAAGUAAUAAUGUGAGCAGAAAGAAAGGCUCUAAGCCAGAUCACACAUACAGGAAUCAUAUAUGAAAGGGAACUAUACAUGAAGUUAUAUUCUUAAGUAGAUGAUAGUUUACUCAGAUUCACUUACUAAGAGAUCUUGUAAAUUAUUUCUAAAAUCUGAUACAUUUUUAUAGCAGUAUAUCACUU